rnacentral:lncRNA from 1 species
UCAAAUUCCUUUUUAGUCAAAAAGUCAACUUUGAGUUCAUAAUAUAUUCCAAGGGCAAAAUUGUCUUUAUGCAGAAUUAAUUACUAAUUAAAUAUGAAUUUUAGGUUUGGGUCAUUACAGAAAACCCACGAAAUGACUCCUCCCAGACCAAUUCAGGUUUGUACGAAGUUCGUUAUGAAAUGGAGUGGUUGGUGUAUUGCAUAGUUGUAGAGAUUGGAUUUCACUCAAAAGCCAAUAAAUGACUCCUCCCACCACACUAUGAUAUUCCCCAAAUUGUGGACUCAAUCCGAUAUCGAUUGGUCCAUAAAAUCGAAGAAUUCAGGUUUGUACGAAAUUCGUUCUGAAAUGGAGUGGUUAGUGUAUUGCAUAGUUUUAGCCAUUGGAUUUCACUCAAAA